rnacentral:tRNA from 1 species
GCUCGCUUGGUGGAAAUGGUAAACACGACAGGCUUAAAAGAGGUUCCUAUGGAUUAUCGGUUCGGAUCCGAUAGCGAGUG